AAAACAAAAUAGAAAAGGUCCACUUGGUUCAUAUUCGAACCCCCCACCCCACCCACCCCGGUCCAGCUCACGCUACGCCCCUGUAAUUCUGAUAAUUCUUCACAGAAAACCCGUUACACUUUUCCACCUGCAGCAAAGGAUCUUUUACAUACACUUCCCCCCACAGGCAACACAUGCCAACUUUUGAUACACCAGUCGUGGGACACUGGUUGGGAUGUGACAAAACCCAGUCUAGGUCCACCGAGAUGAGCGCUCUACCUACUGAGCUAGAUCCGACCGCCAGACAGAAAGGAAUGCAGAUGGCAAAGAUCAAGAGUUAUCAGACAACUUAUUGAUAAAGUACGAUGUUUUAAAUAUAGUCUAAUGCGACCAGACAAAUCGAUUUUUGUCAUCUAUACAUGACAUUUGUCUGCCACUGACCACAAGGUGUCGUGGAGGGUCUACCUGCUGUCCAUAGGUGUGGGCAAUGAUUCUUCACCCAUAUGUUUAGUGUCUACCCCUCCAUCUACUACUACCAUCAUCAACAACAGUGACAACAUUACGACAAGCGACAACGACAAAAAAACACACAACGACAACAGCAACUUCGUUAGUAGUGUUACAGGUGGGUGACACGAUGUAGAUGUGACUGAUGACGUCAUGGCGUCCUUGACAUUGUACGAUUCCUCGCAUUCACAAAAAUGGAACGAAAAGGCCAAAAGUGUAUGAUCGGUGUACGAAGCCAAAAUUUGAUGGAAGGAAUUUGUAUGAUUCCUGCCAGAUAAUGGAAUGUCACACGAAAGAGUUCGUGGGUUGAUGGUUUCAAGUUACAUGUAUUGGUCACCUGGUUUCUUGAAUGGGAAUCACUGAAGGCCAAAAUGUUGAAGAACCAAUGGGGAAUAUGCUAUUCCUGUUUUUAAGAGGUUUUAGAAGAAAUGUUUUUGAAUAUUGCACACAAAAGAAAAUGCAUGCUUUAAAUGGGAAGAUGGAGGCGACCUAACAGUAUUAAGCAAAAAAUGGGCUCGACGAUGGAACUGAAUUCUACCAGUCUGCAGACUUGUUUCUAAAAUCGCAUCACUUUUCUUCCACUGAAGUGAUCGGAUUUCCUCCGACGUCCCGAAGCUAACGAGCCAAUUCCGUUCAAGUGAUUCUGUGAUUAGCUCGAUUGAUACCGGAGAAUCGGAGAGCAUUCGCAAACAGAAGAAUGGCAGGAGAAAUACUGUGACAAGAGCAACACUAGGGCCACUGAUUUAGAGCCAUUCCGAUGAAAGAUGACGGGAAUAAAUUUCAAUGUUUGACUUUCAACAAGAAAAGGGUUCCGUGCUGGAACAUAGUUUAAUUUCUUCGCACAAAGGGACGCUUUAUGGCUCUAAAAGUUUAGACUGAAGGCGAUAUAAUGGCGUGCUUCAUCUCAUGGAACUCGUCAGAACAAGAGAAACUACUGGAGAAAAAUGUCAUUGAUCGUUACAAAAAUCGCACAGGAAUCCUUGGAAUUUUAGCAGAAAAAUAAUUUAGUCAUUCGUUAUGAUUCUAUUGACAUCUGAAGAGUUGUAAUUCCAUCGACAAUUGAAAAUCAGUGACACAUACGUAUUAUGUAUUAAUCAAAAAACCUAAAAUUCCUGAGCUUUCUGCGGAAUGAAUACUUUUAAUUAACACAAAGAAGUAAUGAAAGAAAUUCCAAUGUGAAAUUUAUCUACACGAUUCUUCUGAAAAAAAUUCUUGGCGGGAAACGUAAACGCCAAAGCGUAACAUUUCUGAAACCUCCAGUGUAAACAUGGACGCCGACGUGAUAAUUACAGAGUGGCAUCAAAAAUAGAAAGACCGUUCCUUUUUUCUAUAGCUUCUAUUGCUUAAACCAUGAAUUUCUCAAAUAGUGAAACCGUAUCCACAAGAUGCUUUUAAAACGGGCAAUCCUUACUCGUAAUUAAAUACCAUUUUCACUCUCAAAGGUACGCAAAGAACAGAAUGAAUUGAAAUAAUGGAAAAUGUAUCUUUAAAGUCAGUUCUACAGAAAUGAAAGUUUAAUACGAUGGUAUUUAUUAUCCUUUCUCUUCUUAACAUUUUGUUAAAAAUCUAGUGGGUUUUUUUUCUUUCUUAUUUGGUAUAAGCUAUAAGCAACUAAAACUGAUUAUUAUUAUUUUUUUAAAUGAAAUUGUAUGAUCGUUCUGAUUUGUUUUCACUUAUUAGACUAUUUUCAAAAUGACGACAAAUGUUUAGAAACGAUUUCGAAGAUGACGAUUCUUAACAUUAAUAUCAAGUUGAAAGGUGAUUUGAUUAGCUCAGCAGCAUAUAAGCCACGGCCCUGUCUUUACCAUUAACACCACAGCAUGCAAUAACGCGGACACUACAUGUGGUGCAGGCACUCGAGAUGAGUCGCGUGCUUCAACAGACGCACGUGCCCGAUCCAUCACAUGUACUACAACCAUCUUUGUUUCCCGGGACACCUGGACAAGACCCAGAGGUCGUAGGUGGUAAACAAGGUGAUCAUGUAGGCAGGGUGGUCGGUGGGGGACGUGCUCAAGGAGACCUGACAACGUGACCUUGUUCAAAGUCGCGGGAUACGAAGAGGGAACGAUACGGGGUGGCUGCCCCUUAUCGUUUAGUAUUAAAACGAGAAAACCAG
rnacentral:lncRNA from 1 species